AAAGCUUAAUUACCCCCAAGCUGCUAACUCGGGGAAUAACGAUAACCCGUUAAAGCUUUU
rnacentral:tRNA from 1 species